rnacentral:sRNA from 1 species
GUUUGGAAUGUCAGUGUUCAACCUCAGCAAUGCCAUCAUGGGCAGCGGCAUCCUGGGGCUGGCCUAUGCCAUGGCCCACACGGGGGUCAUCUUCUUCCUGGCCCUGCUGCUGUGCAUUGCGCUUCUAUCGUCCUACUCCAUCCACCUCCUGCUGACCUGUGCUGGUAUUGCAGGCAUCCGAGCCUAUGAGCAGCUGGGACAGAGGGCAUUCGGGCCUGCGGGGAAGGUAGUGGUGGCCGCAGUCAUCUGUCUGCACAAUGUUGGGGCCAUGUCCAGUUACCUGUUCAUCAUCAAAUCUGAGCUCCCCCUGGUUAUCGGCACCUUCCUGUACAUGGACCCCGAGGGGAGGUGGAGGAGGAGGAGGCCAGGUCCUGGUGGAGCCUUUGCCCAGCCCAGUCCUCUCUGCCUCCUCCUGGCUGAAGCUGUGUGUCAGGAUUACCCUCGGGCUAAAGAGGAAAAAUAAAGAUGUUCAGCUACC